rnacentral:rRNA from 1 species
GAUGAACGCUAGCUACAGGCUUAACACAUGCAAGUCGAGGGGCAGCGGGAUUGAAGCUUGCUUCAAUUGCCGGCGACCGGCGCACGGGUGAGUAACGCGUAUCCAACCUUCCGUACACUCAGGGAUAGCCUUUCGAAAGAAAGAUUAAUACCUGAUGGUAUGAUGAGAUCGCAUGGUAUCAUCAUUAAAGAUUUAUCGGUGUACGAUGGGGAUGCGUUCCAUUAGGUAGUAGGCGGGGUAACGGCCCACCUAGCCUACGAUGGAUAGGGGUUCUGAGAGGAAGGUCCCCCCACAUUGGAACUGAGACACGGUCCAAACUCCUACGGGAGGCAGCAGUGAGGAAUAUUGGUCAAUGGACGAGAGUCUGAACCAGCCAAGUAGCGUGAAGGAUGAAGGUCCUACGGAUUGUAAACUUCUUUUAUAAAGGAAUAAAGUCGGGUAUGGAUACCCGUUUGCAUGUACUUAUGAAUAAGGAUCGGCUAACUCCGUGCCAGCAGCCG